AUACGGAGGGUGCAAGCGUUAAUCGGAAUUACUGGGCGUAAAGCGCUCGUAGGCGGCUUGUAAAGUCGGAUGUGAAAGCCCUGGGCUCAACCUGGGAACUGCAUUCGAUACUGGCAAGCUAGAGUAUAGUAGAGGCAAGUGGAAUUCCGGGUGUAGCGGUGAAAUGCGUAGAUAUCCGGAGGAACAUCAGUGGCGAAGGCGACUUGCUGGACUAAUACUGACGCUGAGGAGCGAAAGCGUGGGGAGCAAACGGGAUUAGAAACCCCAGUAGUCC
rnacentral:rRNA from 1 species